UUUCAUUUUAUAAAUGAUAACUGAAUAUAUUAAUGUAUAAUAAUAUUUUAAUACUAAUUACAAAAUUAGUGUAACUACAUACAAAUUUUUUGAAAAUUUUAAUAUAUAUAUUUAUAUUUUAAAUAACAAGAUAUUAAAAAUAUUAUGAUUAAAGUAGUUUAAAGAUUAUAUAUAUUAUUAGUCUUAUUAAAAUACAUUUAAGAAAAACUUUAAGGGUGAUCCAACUUAAAAAUCACAAAUGAAAGAAGUUGUGAUUUUUGACUAAAAAAAAAAGAAGUUGUGAUUUCUAUUUUAGUAAAAUAGAUUGAUUCACAUUUCUACUUUUUUACUCUUGAAAGUUUAGUCAAGACACGACUAUCAUGUUUUAGAAAUGUAUUUUGCAUUGACAUUUUUCUGGUGUGUGGCAAUUUUGCUGUUUUUCCAUGUUUAUUGAAUCAAUUAAGUUUUAAAAGUUGGUUAUUAGAUUCUUUAUUUCUGCAUCAUCUAGCUAUCACAUGAAAGGCAUAAUAAAAAGAAAUAAACAAACAAAACGGGUGGAUGAAUGUAGUCAGAUUCGGCGAUGAAAAGUCUGAAAGAGUGGUGGGGUUUCACUAAGCACAUCACAUGGGCUGUCCACAACCAAAGGAGACAACCACGUUUGUCUUCUCUUCCUCCAAAACCAGUCUCACCAUUUUGCUUUUUCGCACCCUUAUUUUAUAAAUAUCCAUUUUGGGGUUUUACAAUGUGGAUAAAACUAUACUACAAUUUGCCUGUGGAGAAGAAGCAGCCGACAAUUCUUAGCUAAACCUUACACUACCUGUUGAUUUAUUUAUUUAUUAAAAAAAUAUUAUGUAAUGGAUGUUUUGACUUAAAAAAAAUUAUAAGAGAAUAUACACUUUCUACAGCAAUGAAAAAGAUAACUUAUAUUAUAAAAUAUGCUUUUUAUAACCCUAACAAUAUAGCUGACCCAUGUGUUCUUUUCUUAAAAUAUUGAUUGUGAAUUGACUUUACUAGCACCAACCAACAGAAAUGACAGAAUUUUCUGUUCAUUUUGGUUACUCAUGCAUAAAUAUAUGUAUCUGCCUAUUUUUAAAUUAUUUGUAAGGUUAAUACAACAAAGUUAUUAUUUCUUUCAAAAAGUUAAAAAUAGUUUUAUCUUGUUUUCAUGUUUAUUAUACUAGUUUUCAUGGGACUUAAAACCAAGAUUCAAACAGCUUACAGCUCAAACAAUUAUUAUCAUUGUUUUCAAAUAGCAUUGACAAAGAUGACCAAAAUGAUAAUGAGUUUAUUAAACAUAAGCUGACUCAAUGACUUCACACACACACACACAACACAUACAAAAAAAAGAAAGAAGAUGGCUUCAUCAUCAUCAACAAUACAGAUGAGCGUUGGUGCCAAUAGAUAUAAACUCCAAGAAGUUAAGAAACAUGGAGUUUAAUUACACAGUUAAUAAGAAA